GACGAACGCUGGCGGCGUGCUUAACACAUGCAAGUCGAACGGAAAGGCCCUGCUUGCCGGGUGCUCGAGUGGCGAACGGGUGAGUAACACGUGGGUGAUCUGCCCCUUACUUUGGGAUAAGCCUGGGAAACUGGGUCUAAUACUGGAUAGGACCAUGCUGUAGGUGGUGUGGUGGAAAGAUUAGUUUCGGUAAGGGAUGAGCUCGCGGCCUAUCAGCUUGUUGGUGGGGUAAUGGCCUACCAAGGCGUCGACGGGUAGCCGGCCUGAGAGGGUGGACGGCCACAUUGGGACUGAGAUACGGCCCAGACUCCUACGGGAGGCAGCAGUGGGGAAUAGUGCACAAUGGGCGCAAGCCUGAUGCAGCGACGCCGCGUGGGGGAUGACGGCCUUCGGGUUGUAAACUCCUUUCAGCCAUGACGAAGCCCUUGUGGUGACGGUAGUGGUAGAAGAAGCACCGGCUAACUACGUG
rnacentral:rRNA from 1 species